CCUACGGGUGGCAGCAGUCGAGAAUCAUUCACAAUGGGGGAAACCCUGAUGGUGCGACGCCGCGUGGGGGAAUGAAGGUCUUCGGAUUGUAAACCCCUGUCAUGUGGGAGCAAAUUAAAAAGAUAGUACCACAAGAGGAAGAGACGGCUAACUCUGUGCCAGAAGCCGCGGUAAUACAGAGGUCUCAAGCGUUGUUCGGAAUCACUGGGCGUAAAGCGUGCGUAGGCAGUUUCGUAAGUCGUGUGUGAAAGGCGCGGGCUCAACCCGCGGAGGGCACAUGAUACUGCGAGACUAGAGUAAUGGAGAGGGAAGCGGAAUUCUCGGUGUAGCAGUGAAAUGCGUAGAUAUCGAGAGGAACACUCGUGGCGAAGGCAGGUUACUGGACAUUAACUGACGCUGAGGCACGAAGGCCAGGGGAGCGAAAGGGAUUAGAUACCCUUGUAGUC
rnacentral:rRNA from 1 species